rnacentral:rRNA from 1 species
GUGAGGAAUAUUGGUCAAUGGGCGAAAGCCUGAACCAGCCAUGUCGCGUGAAGGAUGAAGGUCCUAUGGAUUGUAAACUUCUUUUGCAGGAGGGUAAAGUGAGCUACGUGUAGUUCAUUGCAAGUACCCUGCGAAUAAGCAUCGGCUAACUCCGUGCCAGCAGCCGCGGUAAUACGGAGGAUGCGAGCGUUAUCCGGAUGUAUUGGGUUUAAAGGGUGCGUAGGCGGACUAAUUAGUCAGCGGUGAAAUUUUGCGGCUCAACCGUAAAACUGCCGUUGAAACUGUUAGUCUUGAGUGCGGUAGAGGUAGGCGGAAUGUGUGGUGUAGCGGUGAAAUGCUUAGAUAUCACACAGAACACCGAUUGCGUAGGCAGCUUACUGGAGCGCAACUGACGCUGAGGCACGAAAGCGUGGGGAUCGAACAGGAUUAGAUACCCUUGUAGUCC